UGCUCUGGUGGCCUAGUGGUAGUGCACCUGCCUCAGAUGUAAGAGGUUGCAUGUUUGAACCCUGGCUGAGUCA